UUAUAUACACAUCACUUUAUUUAGGUAGCUUAUUACACCUCACAAGUGACAAACACUAAAGAUAUCUGAACACAUAUAUAAAAAAACCCAACAUACAUAAUAAGGUUAUUCUUCUUUGGCCCCCAGAUGAGCAGCACCCCCAGAUGUGCUGC